rnacentral:rRNA from 1 species
GGGAUGACACAGUAGGAUAAGCUAAGCACACUGUUGGUUAUGUGUGCCCAAGCAUUGAGGCAGUCAAAGUAGGCAAAUCCGCUUUGAUAAUGCUGGGAUGUGAUGGGGAGCGAAAUUUAGUAGCGAAGUAGCUGAUUUCACACUGUCAAGAAAAGUCUCUAUCGAGGUUAAAGGUACCCGUACCGCAAACCGACACAGGUGGGUGAGGAGAGUAUCCUAAGGCCAGCGAGAGAACUGUUGUUAAGGAACUCGGCAAAAUGACCCCGUAACUUAGGGAUAAGGGGUGCCACCAUCAGGUGGCCGCAGAGAAUAGGCCCAAGCGACUGUUUACCAAAAACAUAGGUUUCUGCUAAGUCGCAAGACGAUGUAUAGGAGCUGACGCCUGCCCGGUGCUGGAAGGUUAAGGGGAUCUGUUAGAGCAAUCGAAGCAGUGAACUUAAGCCCCAGUAAACGGCGGCCGUAACUAUAACGGUCCUAAGGUAGCGAAAUUCCUUGUCGGGUAAGUUCCGACCCGCACGAAAGGCGUAACGAUUUGGGCACUGUCUCAACAACAGACUCGGUGAAAUUGUAAUUCCGGUGAAGAUGCCGGAUACCUGCGACAGGACGGAAAGACCCCAUGGAGCUUUACUGUAGCUUGACAUUGGGUCUUGGUACUACAUGUACAGGAUAGGUGGGAGGCUUUGAAACCAGGACGCCAGUUUUGGCGGAGCCAUCCUUGGGAUACCACCCUUGUAGUACUGGGACUCUAACCAUAGGCCAUGAAUCUGGUCUUGGGACACUGUCAGGUGGGCAGUUUGACUGGGGCGGUCGCCUCCCAAAAGGUAACGGAGGCGCUCAAAGGUUCUCUCAGUACGGUCGGAAAUCGUACGUAGAGUGUAAAGGCAAAAGAGAGCUUGAUUGCAAGACAUACAGGUCGAGCAAGGAUGAAAAUCGGACUUAGUGAUCCGGUGGUUCUGCGUGGAAGGGCCAUCGCUCAACGGAUAAAAGCUACCCUGGGGAUAACAGGCUUAUCUCCCCCAAGAGUCCACAUCGACGGGGAGGUUUGGCACCUCGAUGUCGGCUCAUCACAUCCUGGGGCUGUAGUAGGUCCCAAGGGUUGGGCUGUUCGCCCAUUAAAGUGGUACGCGAGCUGGGUUCAGAACGUCGUGAGACAGUUCGGUCCCUAUCCGUCGCAGGCGUAGGAAAUUUGAGAAGACCUGUCCUUAGUACG